AUUGAACGCUGGCGGCAUGCCUUACACAUGCAGGUCGAACGGUAACAGGUCUUCGGAUGCUGACGAGUGGCGAACGGGUGAGUAAUACAUCGGAACGUGCCUAGUAGUGGGGGAUAACUACUCGAAAGAGUGGCUAAUACCGCAUGAGAUCUACGGAUGAAAGCAGGGGAUCGCAAGACCUUGUGCUACUCGAGCGGCCGAUGGCCGAUUAGGUAGUUGGUGGGAUAAAAGCUUACCAAGCCGACGAUCUGUAGCUGGUCUGAGAGGACGAUCAGCCACACUGGGACUGAGACACGGCCCAGACUCCUACGGGAGGCAGCAGUGGGGAAUUUUGGACAAUGGGCGAAAGCCUGAUCCAGCAAUGCCGCGUGCAGGAUGAAGGCCUUCGGGUUGUAAACUGCUUUUGUACGGAACGAAAAGCUCUGGGUUAAUACCCUGGGGUCAUGACGGUACCGUAAGAAUAAGCACCGGCUAACUACGUGCCAGCCGCCGCCGUAA
rnacentral:rRNA from 1 species